rnacentral:rRNA from 1 species
AACAUCGCCUCCUGCAAAAAUCAAUGUAUAGGAGGUCCUACCUGCCCAGUGACUAUUAGUUUAACGGCCGCGGUAUUUUGACCGUGCUAAGGUAGCGCAAUCACUUGUCUUUUAAAUGAAGACCUGUAUGAAUGGUGUAACGAGGGCUUAACUGUCUCCCUUCUCUAGUCAGUGAAAUUGAUCUACCCGUGCAGAAGCGGGUAUAAAAAUACAAGACGAGAAGACCCUUUGGAGCUUAAGACAAAAAGCCAACCGUGUUAAAAGCCCUAAUAAAAAUAGGCUAAACAAAACAGCAACUGGCCAACGUCUUCGGUUGGGGCGACCACGGGGAAAAACAAAGCCCCCAUGUGGACUGGGUAUAUUCCUAAAACCAAGAGAUACAUCUCUAAGUAGCAGAACAUCUGACCUAAAGAUCCGGCCCACAGGCCGAUCAACGAACCAAGUUACCCUAGGGAUAACAGCGCAAUCCUCUUCAAGAGUUCAUAUCGACAAGGGGGUUUACGACCUCGAUGUUGGAUCAGGACAUCCUAAUGGUGCAGCCGCUAUUAAGGGUUCGUUUGUUCAACGAUUAAAGUCCUACGUGA